rnacentral:rRNA from 1 species
UACGUAGGGGGCAAGCGUUGUCCGGAUUUAUUGGGCGUAAAGCGUGCGUAGGCGGCCAGAUAAGUCCGGUGUGAAAGCCACAGGCUCAACCUGUGAAUGCCGCUGGAAACUGUCUGGCUAGAGUCCGGGAGGGGCGAGUGGAAUUCCUGGUGUAGCGGUGAAAUGCGCAGAUAUCAGGAGGAACACCGGUGGCGAAGGCGGCUUGCUGGGCCAGUUCUGACGCUGAGGAGCGAAAGCGUGGGGAGCGAACAGG